AUUGAACGCUGGCGGCAUGCCUUACACAUGCAAGUCGAACGGCAGCGGGGGAGAAGCUUGCUUUUCCUGCCGGCGAGUGGCGAACGGGUGAGUAAUACAUCGGAACGUGCCCUGUAGUGGGGGAUAACUAGUCGAAAGAUUAGCUAAUACCGCAUACGACCUGAGGGUGAAAGUGGGGGACCGCAAGGCCUCAUGCUAUAGGAGCGGCCGAUGUCUGAUUAGCUAGUUGGUUGGGUAAAGGCCUAACAAGGCGACGCACAGUAGCGGGUCUGAGAGUACGACAAGCGUAAAUGGGACUAGGACACGGACAAGACUCCUAAGGGGGUCAGCAGGGGGGAAUUUUGGACAAUGGGCGAAAGCUUGAUCGAGCAAGGCCACGUGUGUCAAGAAGGCCUUCGGGUUGUAAACCACUUUUGGCAGGAAAGAAAUGGCUCUGGUUAAUACCUGGGGUCGAUGACGGUACCGGAAGAAUAAGGACCGGCUAACUACGUGCCAGCAGCCGCAGUAACAC
rnacentral:rRNA from 1 species